rnacentral:rRNA from 1 species
UGCAGGCGGUUUGGUAAGUUGGAUGUGAAAGCUCCCGGCUCAACUGGGAGAGGUCGUUCAAAUACUGCCAGACUCGAGGAUGGUAGAGGGAGGUGGAAUUCCCGGUGUAGUGGUGAAAUGCGUAGAUAUCGGGAGGAACACCAGUGGCGAAGGCGGCCUCCUGGACCAUACCUGACGCUAAGACGCGAAAGCUAGGGGAGCGAACG